AUGGAGGUUUUUGCAGAUUUGGGUUCGCGUGAUCCGCAUUUCACGUACCGAGUGGAAGCAGACAAUGAAGGUCGGAUAAGCACUCUUAUGUGGGCAAAUGGUAGCAGCAGAUUGCAGUACACAUUCUUCAGCGACGUGGUUACCUUCGAUACGACAUACAGGACAAAUAUGUACAACAUGCCCUUUGGCCUGUUUAUAGGUGUGAAUAAUCAUUUCCAGAGCAUCAUCCUAGCUAGGGUUUUGGUGUGUGACAAAAAAGUGGAGACCUUUGAGUGGGUCUUCACAGAGUUUGUUCGGAUGAUGGGCGGAAGUUCACCGAAGACAAUUCUAAUUGGUACGAUCCUGAAUUAUAGUGGAUGCUUUUGA
rnacentral:rRNA from 1 species